rnacentral:rRNA from 1 species
GAUCGUAAAGCUCUGUUGUUGGUGAAGAAGGAUAGAGGCAGUAACUGGUCUUUAUUUGACGGUAAUCAACCAGAAAGUCACGGCUAACUACGUGCCAGCAGCCGCGGUAAUACGUAGGUGGCAAGCGUUGUCCGGAUUUAUUGGGCGUAAAGCGAGCGCAGGCGGAAUGAUAAGUCUGAUGUGAAAGCCCACGGCUCAACCGUGGAACUGCAUCGGAAACUGUCAUUCUUGAGUGCAGAAGAGGAGAGUGGAACUCCAUGUGUAGCGGUGG